GAAAAGAAACCAACAGGGAUUGCCUCAGUAACGGCGAGUGAAGCGGCAAAAGCUCAGAUUUGAAAUCUGGCGUCUUCGGCGUCCGAGUUGUAAUCUGUAGAGGAUGCCUUUGGGUGGCCACCGGUCUAAGUCCCCUGGAACGGGGUGUCACAGAGGGUGAGAAUCCCGUAUGUGACCGGGAAGGCGCCCUAUACAUGGCUCCUUCGACGAGUCGAGUUGUUUGGGAAUGCAGCUCUAAAUGGGAGGUAAAUUCCUUCUAAAGCUAAAUACCGGCCAGAGACCGAUAGCGCACAAGUAGAGUGAUCGAAAGAUGAAAAGCACUUUGGAAAGAGAGUUAAAAAGCACGUGAAAUUGUUGAAAGGGAAGCGCUUGCAACCAGACUUGUUGGCGGUGUUCCGCCGGUCUUCUGACCGGUCUACUCACCGUCUGCAGGCCAGCAUCAUCUGGGGCCGCUGGAUAAAAGCGGAGGGAAUGUGGCUCCUCCGGGAGUGUUAUAGCCCUCUGUGUAAUACAGCGAGUCCCGGGUGAGGUCCGCGCUUCGGCUAGGAUGCUGGCGUAAUGGUCGUAAGCGGCCCGUCUUGAAACACGGACCAAGGAGUCUAACAUCUAUGCGAGUGUUCGGGUGUCAAACCCCUACGCGUAAUGAAAGUGAACGGAGGUGGGAACCUUUUAGGUGCACCAUCGACCGAUCCUGAUGUCUUCGGAUGGAUUUGAGUAAGAGCAUAGCUGUUGGGACCCGAAAGAUGGUGAACUAUGCCUGGAUAGGGUGAAGCCAGAGGAAACUCUGGUGGAGGCUCGCAGCGGUUCUGACGUGCAAAUCGAUCGUCAAAUUUGGGUAUAGGGGCGAAAGACUAA
rnacentral:rRNA from 1 species